rnacentral:rRNA from 1 species
GACAGAGGGGGCAAGCGUUGCUCGGAAUUACUGGGCGUAAAGGGCGCGUAGGCGGGAUGGCAAGUCGGUCGUGAAAUCCCUCGGCUCAACCGAGGAACGUCGAUCGAUACUGCUGUUCUUGAGGAUUGCAGAGGAGACUGGAAUUCCCGGUGUAGCGGUGAAAUGUGUAGAGAUCUGGAGGAACACCGGUGGCGAAGGCGGGUCUCUGGGCAAUUCCUGACGCUGAGGCGCGAAAGCGUGGGGAGCAAACGGG